rnacentral:misc_RNA from 1 species
UCAAACUUGGUCAUUUAGAGGAAGUAAAAGUCGUAACAAGGUUUCCGUAGGUGAACCUGCGGAAGGAUCAUUAGUGAAUCGCCGUCGUCGGCCUCGGUCGACGCGCCCGAAGUAGCUCCCGCCAAGGGUCGGCCAAAAGGGCUUCACUCAUCCUCAACACCUGUGAACCGUUGUAGCGCCUCUCUGGAGGUCUACGCCUUUUCUUUUUUACCAAACUACCGUAGUCGAAGAUGUCGUUUGAUCGUAAACAAAUAAAACUUUCAACAACGGAUCUCUUGGCUCUCGCAUCGAUGAAGAACGCAGC